CCUGGUCUUGACAUCCACAGAAGAAUCCAGAGAUGGAUUUGUGCCUUCGGGAACUGUGAGACAGGUGCUGCAUGGCUGUCGUCAGCUCGUGUUGUGAAAUGUUGGGUUAAGUCCCGCAACGAGCGCAACCCUUAUCCUUUGUUGCCAGCGGUCCGGCCGGGAACUCAAAGGAGACUGCCAGUGAUAAACUGGAGGAAGGUGGGGAUGACGUCAAGUCAUCAUGGCCCUUACGACCAGGGCUACACACGUGCUACAAUGGCGCAUACAAAGAGAAGCGACCUCGCGAGAGCAAGCGGACCUCAUAAAGUGCGUCGUAGUCCGGAUUGGAGUCUGCAACUCGACUCCAUGAAGUCGGAAUCGCUAGUAAUCGUGGAUCAGAAUGCCACGGUGAAUACGUUCCCGGGCCUUGUACACACCGCCCGUCACACCAUGGGAGUGGGUUGCAAAAGAAGUAGGUAGCUUAACCUUCGGGAGGGCGCUUACCACUUUGUGAUUCAUGACUGGGGUGAAGUCGUAACAAGGUAACCGUAGGGGAACCUGC
rnacentral:rRNA from 2 species